rnacentral:rRNA from 1 species
AUUGAACGCUGGCGGCAGGCCUAACACAUGCAAGUCGAACGGCAGCACAGAAGAGCUUGCUCUUUGGGUGGCGAGUGGCGGACGGGUGAGUAAUGUCUGGGAAGCUGCCCGAUGGAGGGGGAUAACUACUGGAAACGGUAGCUAAUACCGCAUAACGUCGCAAGACCAAAGUGGGGGACCUUCGGGCCUCACACCACCGGAUGUGCCCAGAUGGGAUUAGCUAGUAGGUGGGGUAAUGGCUCACCUAGGCGACGAUCCCUAGCUGGUCUGAGAGGAUGACCAGCCACACUGGAACUGAGACACGGUCCAGACUCCUACGGGAGGCAGCAGUGGGGAAUAUUGCACAAUGGGCGCAAGCCUGAUGCAGCCAUGCCGCGUGUAUGAAGAAGGCCUUCGGGUUGUAAAGUACUUUCAGCGGGGAGGAAGGCGGUGAGGUUAAUAACCUUGCCGAUUGACGUUACCCGCAGAAGGAGCACCGGCUAACUCCGUGCCAGCCGCCGCCGUAA